CGGCUGGGCGCUCGAGACGGCGCCCCCAGAUCUCCCACCGGGCAGUGUCCCCAGCUGCAGCUGAGGAGAGAAGCGCCGGCGUGCGCGGUGCCACGUCGGAAUUGGCUCUGGGGACGCCGCAGCUGCCGAAGCGCAGCGCGCGGUCCCCACGCACGCCCUGCCUCCGGGCGGCCGGCGGGCUGGCCCGGCGAGGAGAGGAGGGAUGCGCGCCCUCCUCCCGCUCCUAUCUGCGGGUGCCACCGCCUGCGUCAGGGACCCCUGGCCCGAUCUUUCUGCCCCCGAUAACAGAAAAUCUCUUUUUCGUCUUAAAAAAAAAAAAAAAAAAAAAAAAAGCCUGUGGAAGACUCAGCAGAACCCAGGAAGCGCAGAAUUGGGAGAAAAGUCUUUGGCUGGGGCUGUUUCAAGUCUCUGGUUCAAUGGGCUGCUCGAAGCCAGGACUGGGAUCUUCUGAGGGGUGGACUUCUUUGGAACUCGACAGGACCUUGAAGACUGGGUUCUUAGUCCUUAUCACAUAUAUGGGCUAUAAUGAAUAAGUCUAAACAGAAAAGUCGAAUAAACUGGAAAUGAUGCUUUCAUCACGUCGCACAAGAAAAACACAUUUGUUGUUUCUCGCCUCUUGUAAUUCAUGACCCAUAAGACAAAAGUAAAAUGUUCUCUGACUGCAAAUGGAUGUAAAAACUGAUUAUACAGCUACACAUUUCUGUCAUCCUCCCAUCUCUACCCCAAAGAAAGAGGAGCUGUUUGGAUCAGAAGAUGACAUCCUUUCACCCAUCCCUUUCAGGUUUUGACAUCCUAAAAUGUACCUUAUGGAACCCAUACCUGUUAUGUUUUCACCUGUACAAGGCAACAGAGAAAACAUGGUAGUUUUUACUUGAGUAGAUGUGACUUAGCAAUAUGUUGUUGCUGACCUCCAUCCCACAGCAC
rnacentral:lncRNA from 1 species